rnacentral:lncRNA from 1 species
UUAAAUUUGUUCACAAAUUCCUUUGUCUUACUCCCACUCAACUCCCUUCCUAGCAAUCACCGUGUACAUUUCUUCACACCUAAGUGCCACCAGAAAUACAAGAAGAUAAAGUAUGUUGAUGAUGUUUCUCGUGCUUGGCUACUUCUCUGUCCGCUCCUUAUCUGUGCGCUCACAAUGGCUUCUUUGUUGUGUGUGCAUUUCUUCCAAAUUCAGUGAAUAGUUGCCGAGAUCUUGUCGUUUCCUACAAGAAAUGCUUACAUGUGAAGGGCACACGUUAAAUCAAGGUGGACAUGUGACGCACGCAAUCGAAUUUGUUUCAGGCUUCUCAUCAACCGGUGCCUCGGCUGGGGUGAAGGGACUGGGAAUUGUUUCAUGUAAAUAAAACACAGCUUAGAAAUAAAAAGCACAAAUCACCCUAUGAAUCUGGCUUUGAAUUUGCCUUGUUAACACUAUACUUUGCUAUUUCUCUUUAUGGAGCUCAGAAAGUUAUAAGACCAGGGAUACUCCACUAUGUGGGAAGCUUAUGAAUUCAUGAUCAUGCUAUAUUAGUGUUCCCUAAAAAGAGUAAGGAAUAAAGCAGUAAAAAAAGGGCUAAGCUUAGAUUCAUAGCUCCAGCUUUAGCCAGAAACAUCUCAAGUAUAUGUAUAUACUAAAACUACAUGCCAUCAUAUGUGGUACUAUACAGAAAAUUUAAGUCCUAAUGACCUUUAGUCUCAAGUAGUAUGAGCUAGCAACUCCGUCUUUCCCUCUCUCUAGUUCUAAAUAUGAACAACAAAGUAACAAAAGGCAUGUGAUUACUCAAUCUCCUCAUCUUUAAAUAGUCCAGAAUUCAACCAAAUGAUGUAUUAUUAUCCAUUUGUGCUAGUUCUCGGCUAGCUACAGAAUGUACAUUCUCCUCAUGAUCAUCCCAUAUUACUCAUUUUAUUUCUUAUGGUAAAGGACAUAUAUAGCCUUGUGGAUAGAAACAUAGGGAUGCCAGCAUGCAACAUAGUCAUUGUUCUAAUUUUUUGCAUGCACAAAGACUGCAAUAAACAACACUGAUAAUCAGUAGCUACUUUACUAUACAUACUUAAUCGCGUGAAUAGAUCUGGCUAUACUACAAGUCCUACUAUGAGCAAGCCGGAUAUAUCUAGUGGAAUUCACAUGGAUAACACAAAGUUUCGGGAGAGAAUUACCUCUGUAAAAACAAACAGAGCAAACUGGAUAUAUGCAGUUUUUGCAUAAUAAAACUGAAUGACACUGAACUCUUACAUGCUAACACAUUUUUUUUACAACGAUACAGUUGGGGUCUCUCUCCCAGUUUUUCUCCAUCGUGCGUUGCAUGCAUGCGCUGAGUUGAUCCCUAGCAAGAUCAGAGAGAGCGAAACAGAGAAAAUAUCAAGCCAACUCAAUUAACAUGGUUCUCUAACAUUAUAACUUUUUUAAGGUUGACCCCCUAUAUAAAUAUGUUAUACAAGAUAGCAAGUAGCAUAUAUGAAAUAACAAUGGGAACAUACAAAAAUAUUACUCAAGCUUACCAACGAAAAAUAAUUGAAACAUGAUAUUUCAGCAUCCAUUCCAUUCACUAACAAUGGAAAACCUUUAACAUUAAGACAUUAUGAAAAUAUCUUUAUAGUCUUAGGAUUGUGUCGAACAAAUAUUUAUACUUCCAAAUUAAGCAAGUUCUCCCUUCCUCCCUUCCUCCCGAAGAGAGUUCUAAAAUAAGACAUUAGCUUGAGCCAAAUCCAACGUCAUCUGCUAGGACUCACACACAUAACAAUCGACUGCCAAUCACAAACACAAGAACUAAGAAUCAAGAUGUGUAUGCGAACUAUCCCUGAAUAGAGAGGUAUAAAAAGCAAAGCCAAGUUGGGUUCAGUUACUUGCAUCCGUGGACAACCUUUGACUUCUAAUUUUGUCACAGCUUCUUCACAAAUGGAGGAUCAACAUGUUCAGAAUUUAUAGUUAACUGUAAGAAAGGCCUUGUUCACAACAUGAUUACUUUGACUCUCGCCACAAAAAUCAAUGUUUUGUCACUUGUCCACAUGAAUUCAGCUGCACAAAUAAAGGCGGGAGUUAGGAGAAAAGGUUAUUUAGCUGAGCCAAAAAGUUAUUUAGUGCCGAAGCGAUAUCAUAGAGGUUUUUAUUAUAAUUCCUAUAAAAUUCUGUUUGGAAUUCGGACAUAUAGAAAAAUUUGAAACUGAAGCAAAAUUCGAAGUUUAAUCUUGUACGACAUGUUCCAGAC